AUGGGGGAUUUCAAUUUUUCAAUUGCAGCUGUCCCAUGACUUAUUUUUCUCUCCAGGGGUCAGAGGCUGGGAUGGAGUUACCUUCCCAGAAGGUUGUCUGAGGAUCAGCACACCCAACUCCAUUACACUCCUGCAGAAGUAUCACUGGAGACCUUCUCAAGGCAUCAUUCGACAGAAAGCAAGUAAUGUGCUCACGUCAGCUGUCUUCCCUUUCAUCUGACGCUGCAACAACUCUUCAGAAAAUCAGGAAGGAAGGGAGAGAGGGAAGCAAGAAAGACCAAAAGCAAAGUGAUGCUGUGCAGAAGAUCUGAGGCUGCGUCCAGGCUCCCCACCACAGCCCCACAGAGAGGCACAGCCCCAUGUGUGUGGGGGCCGGCCACGGGGAUGCUCAGGGCCCAUCUGCCUUGGAAGACAAGUCCCGGGAGUCAAGCAAUGGGAUUAAGAAGUCAGCCAGACAUGCUGUCCACUGGGAAGAGACUACUACUGCUCUGGUGCCUUGUCAGAUGUUCGCACACCAAACCCCACUCAGGAGAACAGGAUGCGAAAGCUCAGUGUAGUAGAUUCAUCUUACAACAGAGGUCCCAAAUCCUACAGUUUUAUUACAAAUUUUGUGAUUUAGGGUCAUGUUUUGUUCCCAGGGCCCUGUUUCUCAGAUUACUCUGAUUGCGUAAUAUGCCAUCUUUUCACUUCCAACAGAAAAAAACAAAACAAAACCCCCCCAAAAAAAACCAACCAACAUUUUCGGCCCUCAAAAUGCAAAGAAAAUGUCAAUGUAAAAUUGUCUUCAAGAAGGCCCUUCCCUAUGGCUUUUCCCUGGGGUAAGUCAGUGACUAGCUCAGGGAAUGAUCUCCAUCAGCCUUUCACACAGCAAUAUUUGAAAAACUACAGAUUUUAGGGAGAAAAAAAAUACUACUUCAUUUCACAGGUCUCCUUUUUACUUUCUCAGCUGGAGGUCUAUAUGCAACUGGGACUGGACAUGGGAGCUAAAGGCCAUUCCACUUUUAGGAUCUCCCUGCUGCAGUGUCUGGAGUUCUUUAAGUGAAAGUAUCAGUGAAAGCCCGUUGGGUUUGUAAAGCUUUGAGAAUGUUCCUAUUAUUCUUAGAUAUUGCAAAAGCUUGUUUUUCAAAAUAAAAUGAAA